GUGCCACAGCAACAGAGCUCCAGUUGUGUCUUGUAAGAAUUGGUCAUUGUUUCAUGGGGACGACUGGCUCCUUUGGGUGGGAUCUGAUGGCAUCUCAUGGAGUUGAGGUUGUCUGCCAACACUAACUGGCCAGCUCUGACAGGAGGUGCGUGGCCCAGGAGGAGCCAUCAGGCCAGUUCUCUGGGAUACUGCUGUGUGUCCAGCUCUGCAGUUUGCUCUCCAUCACUCAGCGGCAGACAGAGAGGCAGACACAAGCCCCUUUUGAGCCCUCCUCCCUACCGUCAUCUCACAAUGUUCUGAAAUAAGGAGGCAAAUGGCUGAGGUCCCCUCAGUUAGUCUCGCUGUGUCCCAGGCUGGAGUGCCGUGGUGGGGUCUCAGCUCACUGCAACCUCUGCCUCCCGUGUUCAAGCAAUUCUCCUACCUCAGCCUCCUGAGUAGCUGUGAUUACAGGUAGAUGUGAUUGAGUUCUAUCUACCAGAAGCAUAUGCCUCCUGGAAGCCUGGUUCUAACACCUCCCACAAAAUCCUUCAAGCACUUUUUUCUGCUCCAAGGUUUGCUUAUGGGGGACCUAGUGAAGUGCUUCAGAGCCCUAGAGAUUUGCUGAGUCAUAUGAGGGGUCAGCAAACUUUUCCUGUAAAGGGUCAGAUAAUAAACAUUUUAAGCUUUGUAGACUGUAUAAAGUCUCUGUUUCUUCUCCCCCUCCUCCUCCUCUUUCUCCUUCAGCUUGUUUCCUUUAAAAAUGUACAAAACCUUUCUUCUUUUCCAAAAUUUGUCUAUAUUUGACCUGUGAGCCGUAGUGUGCUGAGUCCUGCAUUAGUAGGAAAGAUCUUGGGUUUCAGAAUCACGAUGUAAAGCAGAGACCCUCCUCCCCGCACCCAUUCUCUGCAACUGACACUUGGAUUACUUUUCUUUUAUUCUUUGUCUUUCUCUGAACUAUAGAUGUAUGGUUGGCUUUCUGAGGUCAAAUAUAAUAAAGAGGUAGCCAACCAUUUGGCAAGUUUGAACCAAGCAGAGUUCUGAUAUAAAGAAUGUAGGACCCAUUCACUCCCAAUUAGUCUCUUCACUGAAAGGUGGCUUACACCAGAUAUAUCUUAUUUACUAAUUUGUUUAGUCCGUGUCUAGGGAAACAUUGUGAUCAAGCCAAUAUGCCCAGGCCAGAGCAGCCUACUUUAGAAUCAAAGCUUUAGGCUAGGCGUGGUGGCUCACACCUGUAAUUCCAGCACUUUGGGAGGCCAAGGCAGACAGAUCACUUGAGGUCAGGUGUUCGAGACCAGCCUGGCCAACAUGAUGAAACCCCGUCUCCAUUAAAAAUACAAAAAUUAACCGGGCAUGGUGGUGGGCCCCUGUAAUCCCAGCUACAGCUACUUGGGAGGCUGAGGCAGGAAAAUCACUUGAACCCAGGAGGAGGAGAUUGUAGUGAGCAGAGAUCGCAUCACUGCACUCUAGCCUUGACAACAGAGCGAGACUCCACCUCAAAAAAAAAAAAAAAAAAAAAAGAAUCAAAGCUUUGAAAUCCACCAGAAGUAAAAUUUCCAAGUAGGAGGGAAGAGGAUCAAGAGGAGAAUCUGCAAGAGUAAAACAGGAAGAAGAUGUGUGCUGCAUGGCACAAAAUGAAUCUGCAAAGCAUCUGGGAACUGCAGACCCUACUGAUGCCUGGAACUCACUGGAGUCAGCAUGUCCGGGCAGCCAUUGUAGCAAGUCAGAGUGGUGUGAUGAAAUGCUUCAGGAGAAAAACAUUUCACCACGGCCUGGUUCACUCAGAUACCUUGCCAGGGAAUCAACAUCUCACUCGGGCCUCUGAUAUUGUAACUGUGGGCCUUUAAGAAACAACAGAAAACCCAACUGAAUAAAAACUGACCUUCUUUGUGGCUGCCCUGAUGGAAGGGGCUCAGGAGCAACAGCCUCCAUGGUGCCCACCCUCUGGGCCAGAACAACGGAUGCCCCACAUCUGAAUGUAGUGCCUCCAAGAACCACAGCUUUUUUUGCAGCAGUAGGAGCAUACCUCUGAGGCACUGUGAAGAAUCUGAUGGUUGAACUGAAGCCAAGUCCAGUCUUUACGGAAAAAUUUACACAACACUUCCAGAAUGAAGCACAAAGAAGCAAAUGGAUGUACCAAAAACAAAGAGCAAACUUUGCAGGGAGUUACGUGCAGGGUCUGAGAGCAUUUCCUGUCUCAUAGAUAGGAAGCAUUUGCAUCACGGCUUGUCAUCUGCGCUGUCGGGCCCAGUGUCUCCUAACUUCCUGAAAUAAAACCAAACUAAGCAAAACAAUAAAA